rnacentral:misc_RNA from 1 species
GAUGAAGAACGUAGCGAAAUGCGAUAAGUAGUGUGAAUUGCAGAAUUCAGUGAAUCAUCGAAUCUUUGAACGCACACUGCGCCCUUUGGUAUUCCAAAGGGCAUGCCUGUUCGAGCGUCAUUUGUACCCUCAAGCUUUGCUUGGUGUUGGGCGUCUUGUCUCUAGCUUUGCUGGAGACUCGCCUUAAAGUAAUUGGCAGCCGGCCUACUGGUUUCGGAGCGCAGCACAAGUCGCACUCUCUAUCAGCAAAGGUCUAGCAUCCAUUAAGCCUUUUUUUCAACUUUUGACCUCGGAUCAGGUAGGGAUACCCGCUGAACUUAAGCAUAUCAAUAAGCGGAGGA